AUGAGCGGUCAGUGUGGAGAGCACAGCACUCACUUGUCGCUCCAGAUGCUCCACUAUGAGCAGGUGGUUCUUCACACUGCGUUCCAGCAUCUUCAAGAUGACCGUCUGACAGGAAGCGGUCGAACUUUCCUUCACGUUCCCCAGAGAGCCAAAGAGAACGUCCAGAGAGUCACGUACAAACGCCUGCUUCUGCUGGAACUGAUGGGCUUUGACCGCCGCAUAUGUCACGUGUUAAAGCAUGCAUGCGUGUACCAUGAGCGGCUCCAGCACCUCCGUAACAUCCAUGCGUCUCCUCACCUCUGGGUCACAGAUGAAGUCGAUGGGUUUGGUUUGGCCAAACUGCAGCUGGAGCAGGAGGACCAUGACACCUGCAGGAUCAACAACAAGAUCAAGGUCACGUUUAGCUACUAAAACAUAGAAUCUUAACCAGGGAAGAUUUAAUAUAAACAAAACCAGCAUGAAAAGCACAAUCAAGAUAUUCCUUAUUUUAAUGAAUAUAAAUUUUACUAGUUAUGUUAGGCUCUAAAACAUUUUAUCUGGUAGAAUUUGUAAUAUACUGACGAGUAAAAUUUAAAAAAAAAAAAUCCUUAUACUUAAUCCUUAUCCAGUAAAUCACGAAUGACUGGAAACGUAUAUCUUCUGUAAUCUAAAUUUUAAUUCAAAUUUGAAUUAUUUGUAAACCUUUUUAUAUACAGAAACUAGUCAGUGUUAUUUUUGAAUUAUUUAUAUACUAUUAUAGUUUUAUUUAGCUUUUGUAAAAAAAAAAGAAAGUUUAUUUAGCUUUCAUUUAUUAUUUUAAUUCUACUUAAUUUUUUGUAGUUUUAUGUGCUCUUAUGGAAUUUCAUUUCAUAAUUUUUUUUAUAUUUCUACAUAGUUUUAAUUAUUUAUAAUUUAGCUUUAGUUUUUGUAAUUUCAGUACUUCACCUUCAUAUUUAUUUAUUAACUUAUUUCAGUUAAUUGCAAUUAAAUAAAUAUUUUUUUUUUUUUUGGUUUUUAACUAUG
ensembl:lncRNA